rfam:Listeria monocytogenes strain EGD, complete genome, segment 9/12
AACACUUUUUUAAAAGCAGUCCUGUGAGGCUGACAAAGAGUGAUUAAUUUCUAUAGGGGAUUAUUCUAUACUCUUUGUCGACACAGACAAGGGGUAUUUUUUAU